GGCUCCGUGGUCUAGUUGUUAUGAUUCCUGCUUUGGGUCACAUCACAGCAUGUGCUUGAUAGCAGGAGGUCCCGCGUUCAAAUCGCGGCGGAGCUC
rnacentral:tRNA from 1 species